UGUCCAGGUCCGAUCUAACACGAACAAUAGAAAUUAAUAUUACAACUUGCUGUUAUUAUUAAUUCGGCGCCAUGUUAAUGGGUAGUAUCGAGUGCUAUUAAUUAAUUGGUUUUUCGCGUUAGUUUUCGAAGAUUAGUAAAGAAUAUUUAUCCGAUAUAGUGUUGUGCAAUCAUCAAUGUGAAUUUGAACAGUGACUGGAACAAAAGUUGUACUUAGGAUUAGGAUUACUAGUGGAGUGGAGUAUAAAUGGUGCAUUUUGCAGUUAGUCGUCGGUCAUGAGCCACAUUCGACAAUCGAUUAAUUCCGGGAUCAUCACUGAAGGGAAUUUGAGGAAAGCUACAUCUUCUAGUCCAGUAACCCAACAGUCAGUGAUCGGCUUCUUCCAGAAUCACCGGCACGCGUCAAGAGUGGUACAGUUGCAUAUGCUUUUAAUUAGUUCUUCU